rnacentral:rRNA from 1 species
AACUAGCAUAUCAAUAAGCGGAGGAAAAGAAACUAACAAGGAUUCCCCUAGUAACUGCGAGUGAAGCGGGAAAAGCUCAAAUUUAAAAUCUGGCAGUCUCUGGCUGUCCGAGUUGUAAUCUAGAGAAGUAAUGCCCGUGCUGGACCGUGUAUAAGUCUCCUGGGAUGGGGCGUCAUAGAGGGUGAGAAUCCCGUCUUUGACACGGACUACCAGUGCAUUGUGGUAUGCUCUCAAAGAGUCGAGUUGUUUGGGAAUGCAGCUCAAAAUGGGUGGUAAAUUCCAUCUAAAGCUAAAUAUUGGCGAGAGACCGAUAGCGAACAAGUACCGUGAGGGAAAGAUGAAAAGAACUUUGGAAAGAGAGUUAAACAGUACGUGAAAUUGCUGAAAGGGAAACGCUUGAAGUCAGUCGCGUUGGCUGGAAAUCAGCCUUGCUUUUGCAUGGUGUACUUUCUGGUUGACGGGUCAGCAUCAAUUUUGACCGCUGGAAAAAGGCCUGGGGAAUGUGGCAGCUUCGGCUGUGUUAUAGCCCCUAGUCACAUACAGUGGUUGGGAUUGAGGAACUCAGCACGCCGCAAGGCCGGGUUUCGACCACGAUCGUGCUUAGGAUGCUGGCAUAAUGGCUUUAAGCGACCCGUCUUGAAACACGGACCAAGGAGUCUAACAUGCCUGCGAGUAUUUGGGUGGAAAACUCAAGUGCGUAAUGAAAGUGAAAGUUGAGAUCCCUGUCGUGGGGAGCAUCGACGCCCGGACCAGAACUUUUGGGACGGAUCCGCGGUGGAGCAUGUAUGUUGGGACCCGAAAGAUGGUGAACUAUGCCUGAAUAGGGUGAAGCCAGAGGAAACUCUGGUGGAGGCUCGUAGCGAUUCUGACGUGCAAAUCGAUCGUCAAAUUUGGGUAUAGGGGCGAAAGACUAAUCGAACCAUCUAGGAU